rnacentral:rRNA from 1 species
UAGGGAAUCUUGGACAAUGGGCGCAAGCCUGAUCCAGCCAUGCCGCGUGGGCGAGGAAGGUCUUCGGACUGUAAAGCCCUUUUCUCGGGGAAGAACCGCCUCCACAGGAAAUGGUGGGGGUCUGACGGUACCCGAGGAAUAAGCAACGGCUAACUCCGUGCCAGCAGCCGCGGUAAUACGGAGGUUGCGAGCGUUGUUCGGAAUGACUGGGCGUAAAGGGAGCGCAGGCGGCUUGUUAAGUCUGGAGUGAAAGCCCGGGGCUCAACCCCGGCGGGUCUUCGGAUACUGGCAAGCUUGAGUACGGAAGAGGAGAGCGGAAUUCCAGGUGUAGCGGUGAAAUGCGUAGAUAUCUGGAGGAACACCGGUGGCGAAAGCGGCUCUCUGGUCCGAUACUGACGCUCAGGCUCGAAAGCGUGGGGAGCAAACGGG